ensembl:lncRNA
CAUAGUGUUCUCCUUUUGGCUUUCACUUACCUGAUGCCUGAAGGCAUAGCUGGAAGUUUCCCAGGAAGGAGUGCAACAAGCUCUGGACAUGCUGUUAGUCUGUAUUUCUGCUGAAGAACUGUUACUGCUGGAGGGCUGCUAAUUCAGGUGGCCUGUCAGGGGGAGGAAGUGCACUGGCAGGUCCUGGAGCUGUGCCAGGCUGGAGAGACAUCUUUGAGCAUCAGAUGAAUCACAGGACACAGCCCUCAGUCUUCCACUUCUUAUUGUGUAGAAGCUGCAGGUUAGGUGGUGAUGAGGAAUGAGCCACAGCUGAACAGUGCAAGCCAGGCAGUCUGUGGAGGGAGGCUGAGCUCGUGGCCUGGGAGAUAUUGUUUUUGCCAGCUUUGGUCAGUUAGUAACAAUUGUUUGGAAUGUGGGUGGAACAGGUCCCAGUGCAUUUUCCUCUCCCCUCCUGGUGUGAGAGAGGAGCUGCAACGUGAGCCAGCUGCCACCUUUUGGCAUGAGUAGCAGUGUAUCCCCAGUCUUCCCAGCACAGCCUUGCCAGUCACCCCUCCAUCUCCCAUUUCUGAGUGACGUUUCUUCUUGAGAUGUAAAACCUGCUCAUCAGCCCAUGCAACUUGAUUGCUAUUAAGGCAACAGGGAGCCGUGCUGAGCUGCAUCUCCUGAGGAGCCAGCCCCUGCUGCUAGUAUAUUUAAGUGAUGCAAAUGUUCAAAGUGGUUGACUUUAUACUUUUCUUCUUGGAGCUGUCAUACUUUUUCAGUAGUGAUAUGAUAUCACUUAAAUAUAUUUAAAUUACAUAAUGCUUGAGAGUUAAUUACUCUUCCCUAAUUAAUGUUAGACAGACAUAUGUGGAAACCCUGUGAAUGAUGGUGAAUUUGCUUUUCGCCAGUGUCAAGUUUAGCAUGACAUAAGUAAGAAAAACUGGGGACACCUCUCCCAUUGCUUAGCAUUGAUGCUGAGAGAGUGGGGCUUCACUUCAGACUGAACUACCAGCAAAAUGAGAGCUCCCAAUGUGCUCUUGUGUUUUUUGUCUGGAAGUGCUUCAGAGCGUCCAUCUUCUACCAAGGUGACGCAAGGUUUUUUGGGGCAUGAGGCACAGCAUCACCCCCAACACCCCUGUGAUGGCUGCUCGCUGAGCUGUGACAGCAGAUCCCCGUAGGAGAUGAGGAUGCCUCUACUGAAUUUUCAAGCAGUCAGACACAAGGCAGGUUGUUGCUUUUGUGAAGUGAAAGGAAAUUGCUCUCUGAGGGGCAGCCUUGGGAGCAUAUGUAUUUCUUUAAAUGAAGAGCUCAUGUUAUGAGAACAAGUGAUGCCAUAGGUAGAGAGUGAUGGGCUCGUUGCCAUGGGAACCACUCUUUCUACUUGAAUAGCAAAACCAAUAAUUGCUGAAAACCUACACUGUGUUUGGAGUUUGGACCUUUUUGCCAUGUAGGUUUUGUGAGAGAAGAUACAAUGGAUUCUGCAAGAAAACAAAAUCCCUGUGGAUGCUCUGUGGUGUUCCUGGCCUGCCUCAAAUGCUGUGAAGUGGUAUAUUACCAUCAUGCCUUAAAUUAAAUAGAGGCUUUGUCCUGCCAUGCUGAAGGCAUGAUCCUGUGACCCUGCCUUUGUUUUAGGAGCACAAUGCCCAUUCUUUUAGGAAUGGUAAUCUAAACAAGGACUACUGGCACUGGUCACGGUUGUUGGUGCUGGUAGAUUAUGCUGUCUGACUAAGAUGUGAGAAGUGUAGGGGCUACCCAGUUAUGAUGUGUUUGACUCAGGUCCUCAGAGUAACUAUGUAUAGCUUUCAAUCCCUCCCUAUGGGGAGAUUUUGGAGUGAACUCAUGAGCCAGGCUCUUCCUCUCUGUAGCUCUCCUCUUGGGGACAGUGUGAGAACUGUCACUGCUCUGUCAUCAUGGUGCCAAAAUAAGAUGUUUUUUGUAUUUAUACUAGAAGCAUGAAUAGGUGCAUUGAUUUAUAUGUAAAUAUUUUUGUGUUUAGCAAUGUGAUGUAUUCAGCAAAAUGAUUUAAUUAUGACAGAAUAUAGUUCAAGAAUAUUUACUCUCUCAACUACUUCAAUAGUGCUGAUCUUUCACACCUUGGAGCUCCAGGGAUCUUAUUAAACCCUUUGGUUUUCAAAAUAUAUCAACAGCCUGAAAAUAAACAAGAAAAAUUCUUCGAAGACA